GGGGUGGAUCUGGGAAAGAGGAGGAAGAGCUGGAGCGGAGAGACAGGCUUCGAGCUUGCAGCCAGUGCACCAUUGCUGGGCCGAGGAAACAGAGAAGGUACAAAGCUGUCCUGAGGUUUGAACAUCCUCCGAGGUUGCAUCUCAGUCUCACUAGAGGCUUGAACUGAGAUCCUUGCCACAGUCCCUAAGCUUUUUUGUUCAAGGUAAGUACUGGUCCACUUGAACCACACCUGCACUCCAGGCUUUUUGGUGAAUAGUUGGAGUUUCUUUGACUUUCCUGCCUGGACUGGCUUUGAACCAUGAUCCUCAGCUCUCAGCCUCCUAUAUACCUAGAAUUAUAGGCAUGAGCCACCAGCUCCUCCCUUGUUUUUUCUUUGGGGGGGGGGGGCUAUUUUUUGUUUGUGAGUUUACACAAUUAUUAGCAUCAAUUACUUAUACAAUUUGAGUUUAACAUAUCUAUGGAUACAGUGCAUCUAGAUCUAGUAACCCCCUUUACCCUUCUUCCUGUCCUUCCCCCCAAUCCUUCCCAAACCGCUCUCAUCAUAUCCUUGUUCCAUUUUCACUGACAUAUAUAAUUAUGACUAUAUACACCCUCCUUACCCAUCUGUUGUUCCACCCCCUCCCACAGUACUUCUCCCCCAAACCAGACAUGGUUCAAUUUAUUAAUAUUCUUAAACUAUGUCAAUCACCGUGGUAUCUCACACCUGCAUCUACCAAUUUUUAAUCGGGUGUGUGUAUGUGUCUGUGUGUAGCUUACAUUAUAUUUCUAUUAGCACUGGUCUGGGAAGGAACAAGGAAAGGAGGUUUUCCCCUAAAGAAAAGGGUUUGCUGUAAGACACAGGAAGAAAAUGAGAACUUUAUCUUGUGACCUCUGUAGGAAUCCUUGUCAUCCUUACCCUUCUGUUACUCAUAGCGUAACAGAGUGUUGAGGGCUUACGUUUGAACUGAGGGUGCUGUAGGUUUUAUAGGACAAAGAUAGUAGAAGAGCUUAAUGAUUUCUCCCUUGUACCUUAAGAGCUUUGCCGAACAAGAGGUCAUUUGUUUAGGCUGAGACGUGAGCCUUUCGCCAAGUGCCUUUUAGUCCCAAGUUCCCACUCUCAAGAGGUCUGCUUCUGGUGAUUGGCAGGAGGGGAUUCAAAACAGAACAAAGCAUCCAGCUGGCCCUUCACAGACACAUGCAGAAAUGUAGUGAGUUAACUCUUAGAGUACAGACAUAGACAAAGUAGUAAGAGAAAAGAAAGAAAAAGUAGCAACAAUCAGAA